GUUAUUCUCGAUAACACAGAACAAGAGAACGCACAAAAGAAAAGGUUGAGAUAUACGACAGUUUCUGUGGUUACUGUGUGCGAUCUUAUUAUCACAUAAACAUCAAAUUCAAUUCCUUCAAAAGAGUGGUCUCUGUCUAAUCCGAUAAAUCAUUGCGUGUAACCCGCAAAUACGUUUAUCUGAUAGUUCUCAUACGAUUCAGAGAUUAAUCCAGGUUUCAAUCACAAAAUUUGCAAUUUCAAUUCGGGUUCCAGUCACAAAAAGCCUCGAACCCCACCAUUUUUUGUCUUUUUCUGGACCGUCACCAACGUCCGGAUGAGGAUGAUGAGGACGCUGACGGAGGGGGCGGGACGGUGUGCGGAUCGACGCCGAUCCAGGACGCAAGGAGGACGGUUCCCAUACCGUCUAGCCUUAGACAUAACUGGUAGAUUAUUUUGAUGAACUAAUUAAAGGGUAGUUUGGAAAUCAUUUUCGAUUAAUUUAAAGUGGGUUUGAUCAGUGUAUUUUCUUUUAGUUUGAUCAAUAUUGAAUUUCAAAGUUAACUCAAAAUGGUUGAAAAUGAUGAGAAAACUGGAAAGUUCAACAAGUUUAAGGAUAAUAAGAGAAAGUUGGAUCGGGAUAAUAGUGAUUCCAACAAGAAACCAAAAGGGGGUUGUUGAAGAUGUGGCAAACCGGGGCAUUUCAAGAAAGAUUGUCAUGUGAAGAUUACUAGUGGAAACAAAGCUAACAUAGCGGGUCCAAGUGGGUCGAAAGAUCCGAAUGCUUCACAAGGUGUUGCUUCUACGGCGGUGGUUGUUCAAUGGAGAAGAAUAUCAAGAUUGAGAGAUAUAAAGAGAGUUGAGAGAAGGACAAACAGAUAUUUUCGGAUUUUUAUAUAUAUAUUUUUGUUUUUGU
rnacentral:lncRNA from 1 species